GGGGUGCAAGCUCCGAACUGAAGCCCCAGUAAACGGCGGCCGUAACUAUAACGGUCCUAAGGUAGCGAAAUUCCUUGUCGGGUAAGUUCCGACCUGCACCGAAUGGCGUAAACGACUUCCCCGCUGUCUCCAACGCAGACUCAGCGAAAUUGAAUUCCCCGUGAAGAUGCGGGUUCCCGCGGUCAGACGGAAAGACCCCGUGCACCUUUACUACAGCUUCACACUGGCAUCAGGCCAGGCAUGUGCAGGAUAGGUGGCAGGCUUUGAAACAGGGACGCCAGUUCCUGCGGAGCCGUCCUUGAGAUAUCACCCUUGCCUUGCCUGAUGUCUAACCGCGGACCGUCAUCCGGUUCCGGGACC
rnacentral:rRNA from 1 species